GCCGAAGCCCCGAAGUGCUCUGGCAUAUACCUUCACAUAUAUGCAAUGGCAAGCCCUUCCGUGUGUUCCAAAGGUAAAAUUUAAGCUCUAAAUUAAAGAAGACAUUUCUAGUCAGAAACAAGCAAAAAUGGUGAAUGCAGAGUAUCAGAAGCCCAAGGUACAGAAAAUAUGAGAAGUGUCGAAUGAUUUUAAGGAAAGAGUCGUAUUUGAAAAUGCAAGACUGUUUAGUGGAGGUCAAGCAAGUCAAUAUAGGUAGAAUACUCUGCAAAAUUGUGCAAGGGGAUGUCAAACAAUGGGUCAGGAAAUGCGUUGCUUUUCUGCAAAACAAAAGCUGAUUGCCAUUACAUAAGUCACUUUAGCAUCAUGAGGCUGCUGCUUGAUAAAUUCAUAAAUAAACCAAAAAAACAAGACAUGCAAAAAUAUAAAACAAUUCAAUGGUGCUCUCUCCACACUGGGAUAAAUAAAACAAACACAUCACAUCUAAUGUGGACAUAUCAGACGCCUUGUGAAACAAUAAAGGAAAAAUUCAGUUUCGAGCUAUGGCACUUGCCGCAUAGAUGUGGGGGGCCUUGCACUAAUAGUGAUAGUUACCACUGCAUUUAGAAAUUGAAAGCAUUCAUGCAGACAAGGAUGAUUCUUUAUAAUUCUGGCUACCACUUCAAAUGCCUCCACUAAGUGUUACAAUGCUGCACGCAGUCAUACUAAGGAUCUCGCAGCAACACCUGCAGGUAAAAAGCAAAAAGCAGCCAAAGUGCUGGUGUGUACUGGACACUAUGUUUGAAAACUUUUAGGCAAGAGGAGUGCAAGAAGCAGACAUAACUGCAUUUAUUUCCAAAAUUCCCCAUUUGAAUGGCCUUUUCUUUUUGCUUAGACAAUGCCUACGCCUAGCAGCCCCCUCAUACAGACUCCGCAAGCCAAGAGGCCGUGGAGGCAAAUGCAGGCAGCCAGCACACCCCGAACAGCCAUCUUGACUGUGGGUGUGUCACCCUAGUCACCAAGGAAACAUUUGAGGGAAAGUGACAGGCAACGUGAACAGCCACUUCUCCAUGUAAACAAUACUCUUUCUCUCGGAUGACUCCUACGCCUCGCCACGCCAGCACACUUAUGCACAAAGAUGCCACGGAGGCACGUGCAGGUCAGAGGCAAGAAGCAGUGGCACUGGUGUCGACAUUCACCCAAUUUCUUUUUCUUACACCGAGGCAGCCAGCACACCUCGAACAGCCACCUUGACUGCUGGUGUGUCAGUAGAUUCCUGUUGUACAUAUGCUCAUAAUAAACUUCAGUAAACUUGAACUUGAUAAUAAACUUGAAGGCA